UAGGGAAUCUUCGGCAAUGGACGAAAGUCUGACCGAGCAACGCCGCGUGAGUGAAGAAGGUUUUCGGAUCGUAAAACUCUGUUGUUAGAGAAGAACAAGGACGUUAGUAACUGAACGUCCCCUGACGGUAUCUAACCAGAAAGCCACGGCUAACUACGUGCCAGCAGCCGCGGUAAUACGUAGGUGGCAAGCGUUGUCCGGAUUUAUUGGGCGUAAAGCGAGCGCAGGCGGUUUCUUAAGUCUGAUGUGAAAGCCCCCGGCUGAACCGGGGAGGGUCAUUGGGAACUGGGAGACUUGAGUGCAGAAGAGGAGAGUGGAAUUCCAUGUGUAGCGGUGAAAUGCGUAGAUAUAUGGAGGAAAACCAGUGGCGAAGGCGGCUCUCUGGUCUGUAACUGACGCUGAGGCUCGAAAGCGUGGGGAGCAAACAGG
rnacentral:rRNA from 1 species